GACGAACGCUGGCGGCGUGCUUAACACAUGCAAGUCGAACGAGUGGCGAACGGGUGAGUCACACGUGGGUGACCUGCCCUGCACUUCGGGCUAAGCCUGGGAAACUGGGUCUACUACCGGAUAGUGUGGGAUGGGCCCGCGUCCUAUCAGCUUGUUGGGGGGGUAAUGGCUACCAAGGCGCGACGGGUAGCCGGCCGGAGAGGGUGGACGGCCACAGUGGGACUGAAGCACGGCCCAGACGCCUACGGGGGGCAGCAGUGGAGAAUAUUGCACAAUGGGCGGAAGCAUGAUGCAGCGACGCCGCGUGUAUGAAGAAGGCCUUAGGGUUGUAAAGUACUUUCAGCAGGGAGGCGUUACCCGCAGAAGAAGCACCGGCUAACUCCGUGCCAGCAGCCGCGGUAAUAC
rnacentral:rRNA from 1 species